AGAGGGCUGUACCAACAGAAAGAAGGGUCAGGGUGGAGCCUGGGCAGACAAAACAAUAGGUGAGCAUUUCCAUUCUUGGGGAAGAUCCGCCAGAAAGGUCUCUUGCCUGACCCCUGGGAGAGACAAGGAGCAGUCCAUCUGCCACUCUCCGCCAGGCCUCACCCCGGGGCCGACAGACCCCGUUCAUCGACUGGGCCCCAAGCCCCACCUGUCAGAGCCUUUUAGAUGAGGCCUUUGACCUCGCAUUCUGUCCAGGCUGCCAGACAAGGAGGGCGCAGGAAAGGGAAGCAGGGCUACAAUGGCCCCAGACUUCUACCAGCCUCGGCAGCCACCCGUCCGCCCCUCUGAGACGACGUCGGUCACGGGGAGACCCCGCUUCCCUCCUCCACAAGCUGCAGCCUCAGAAACCUAACAUUGCCAUCUGGGUACUUUCUAGCUUUCUCUGAGUAGGUUCCUUUGACAGCUUAGUGCAGGAUUUCACAAAGAAGAAUCACCUGGGGCGCUUGUCAAAAUUACAGCUUUCAGGGCCUCACUCCCCGGGCAUUCUGACUUAGUGAGUCAAGGCACGGCUCAAGAAUCUGCAUUUUACCAGCACUAAAGUUGGAGAGCCACAUAACCAUGGAGAAUAAGAGAGCCAGUCCCACGUCAGGCUAUGGAUCCCUUCUGACCUGGGUUAGAUGCUGUGUGAUCGUAGGCAAAUGACUUAACCUCUCUGGUUCCAUCCGAGACAAAAAGGAGACAACAGAGUAUCUGCCUCGGGGAAUCAUUGUGAAGCCUGAGACCAAGCAGAGACCUCUCAGGGUCUGCCUGGAAGGUCCAGCAGGACAUGUGAAAGCCAUGUGGAUCCUGAGACCGUUCUCACGGGGCCCGGCUGUCCUGCUUUUCGCUCAUCGCCUGCCUUACCCACCUACCAAUUAGAACAGUGCUCCCUGCGCGUCCCCAGGUUUGGGACCAUCCUAGAUGCCCGAGCUCCUGCACCCUCUUUCCCCUCCUGAAAGGGCUCCUCCGAAGGUUCUCUGUCUGCAUGAUAGAAGUUAAACAUCCUCAGUCGUGCUGUGAUGUCUGCUGUCUGCCUUGAGUCCCAGCCGGCCCUGGAGACGAGCCGUCACCAGCUCCAUCUCAACAGACGGGGAACCCGAGACAGAGGGCGGCGGUGACUCAGCAAGCACAGAGCUGGGCAGAGGCCAAACCACGUGCUGUUAGCCGCCUGCCCCAUGCAUGGUCAUCACCAUCGCAGCCCCACGGGUGGGCGGCCCACACAUCUGGGUGCCCUGCGCUGGUGGGGGGAACUGAUCGGGGGCCCUACACAUCUGCAUGCCCUGUGCUGGCGGGGGGAAACUGAUUAGGGGUGCGGGGCCCUCCGGCCCUGAGCAGUCCACCUGUCCCUGGAGCCUCUGAGAGCCUAGCUCUCUCUCUCACACGCAAACACUCACGAUGGGUGGGGGGCGUGCUUUUGCCUCUCUCUCUCUCUAUCUCCUGGGGCAGGAAAUGUGCCAGGAGAGAUAAAAAGAAAAGAGAGGAGGGAGAGGCCUCUGAAAGGAGCAGGGAUGGGGGCGAGGGCGCCACUGCCCCCCCCCCCCCGAGAUCAGGGCAGAAGAAUGGAAGGAAAUGACCAGAGAGGCAAAAGUCGGCCUGGAGGUUAUCAGCUAUAAAUAGCCCUUUCUCUAGGAUCCCCAGGAGUAGAGGGAAGGGGUUGAGGCCAGAAGGUCUGGUCUCUGUGGCUGGUGGUGGGGGCAGUGGUGAUUAAUGGCU